AUACGUAGGUGGCGAGCGUUGUCCGGAAUUACUGGGCGUAAAGGAUGCGUAGGUGGAUAUUUAAGUGGGAUGUGAAAUCCCCGGGCUCAACCCGGGAACUGCAUUCCAAACUGGAUAUCUAGAGUGCAGGAGAGGAAAGCGGAAUUCCUAGUGUAGCGGUGAAAUGCGUAGAUAUUAGGAGGAACACCAGUGGCGAAGGCGGCUUUCUGGACUGUAACUGACACUGAGGCAUGAAAGCGUGGGUAGCAAACAGGAUUAGAUACCCUGGUAGUCCACGCCGUAAACGAUGGGUACUAGGUGUAGGAGGUAUCGACCCCUUCUGUGCCGUCGUUAACACAAUAAGUCCCCCGCCUGGGGAGUACGGUCGCAAGACUAAAACUCAAAUGAAUUGACGGGG
rnacentral:rRNA from 1 species